CAAUGGAGGAACUCUGAUGCAGCGACGCCGCGUGAGUGAAGAAGUAUUUCGGUAUGUAAAGCUCUAUCAGCAGGGNAAGAAAAUGACGGUACCUGACUAAGAAGCCCCGGCUAACUACGUGCCAGCAGCCGCGGUAAUACGUAGGGGGCAAGCGUUAUCCGGAUUUACUGGGUGUAAAGGGAGCGUAGACGGACUGGCAAGUCUGAUGUGAAAGGCGGGGGCUCAACCCCUGGACUGCAUUGGAAACUGUUAGUCUUGAGUGCCGGAGAGGUAAGCGGAAUUCCUAGUGUAGCGGUGAAAUGCGUAGAUAUCGGGAGGAACACCAGUGGCGAAGGCGACCUACUGGGCACCAACUGACGCUGAGGCUCGAAAGCAUGGGUAGCAAACAGGAUUAGAUACCCUGGUAGUCCAAGGGCGAAUUC
rnacentral:rRNA from 1 species